UACGGGGGGGGCAAGCGUUGUUCGGAAUUACUGGGCGUAAAGGGUUCGUAGGUGGCUCGCUAAGCCAGACGUGAAAUCCCUCAGCUUAACUGGGGAACUGCGUCUGGGACUGGCGAGCUCGAGUGCGGGAGAGGAAUGCGGAAUUCCAGGUGUAGCGGUGAAAUGCGUAGAUAUCUGGAGGAACACCGGUGGCGAAGGCGGCAUCCUGGACCGACAUUGACGCUGAGGCGCGAAAGCUAGGGGAGCAAACGGG
rnacentral:rRNA from 1 species